GCCUUUCGACUGAAAUGUGUGACGUCGUCUUUGAAUAGAGAUGUGCUAAUCUUGUUGUCACCUUGAAUGCACCAUGUAGUGUUGAUUUCACAAGACAGAAUUGACUGAAGUAACUAAAUGAUAAACAAUAGUUAUUUUUAUAUGCCUUAAGACGUUUAAUAAUGACCAAACAUUAACAAUCAUAUAGUUUGGCGGGGCACAUGCGUAGUACCCAUCACUACUGAUUGUUAUGGCAGACCUUGGCCGCGAGUUGGAAUGCCGUGGAGGUGUCGCGUCGCUCGGUUGGCGUCUUGUCACGCGAUCAAGGGACGUGAGAUAUUACUGCGUGGUACUUAGUGGUGUUCCUGUGGGCUGUCAGGAUAUGGCACCAAUCACACCGUGUGAAGUUAUUCAGCAUGCCACUAGCAAAGAUGGCAUGUUUAUACUGGUGAAGUUUAGUGGCUUCAGAGUUCCUACAUGGGUUUCGAGAGAAAGAGUGCCUCUGAGCCUAAUCCGGUCAUAUUUUGAGAAAGAUCAUGAUAAUUAUGCUUCUGGCCUCAUUCCUGAUGACGAUGAAGAUGA